UACGGAAGGCAGCAGGGGGAAUAUUGCACAAUGGGCGCAAGCCUGAUGCAGCCAUGCCGCGUGUAUGAAGAAGGCCUUCGGGUUGUAAAGUACUUUCAGUCGUGAGGAAGGUGUUAAGGUUAAUAACCUUAGCAAUUGACGUUAGCGACAGAAGAAGCACCGGCUAACUCCGUGCCAGCAGCCGCGGUAAUACGGAGGGUGCGAGCGUUAAUCGGAAUUACUGGGCGUAAAGGGCACGCAGGCGGUUAAUUAAGUUGGAUGUGAAAUCCCCGGGCUUAACCUGGGAAUGGCAUUCAAGACUGGUUAGCUAGAGUCUUGUAGAGGGGGUAGAAUUCCAUGUGUAGCGGUGAAAUGCGUAGAGAUGUGGAGGAAUACCGGUGGCGAAGGCGGCCCCUGGACAAAGACUGACGCUCAUGUGCGAAAGCGUGGGGAGCAAAC
rnacentral:rRNA from 1 species